UACAUACUGGUGUCAAUAAGCUUGCAGACCUCGUUGGAGUCACUCUCGGUCCGAAGGGUAGAAAUGUUGUUUAGGAGAGCAAAUAUGGAUCACCAAAACUUGUUAACGAUGGUGUUACUGGAGCCAAAGAGGUCGAAUUAGAAGAUCCUGUUGAGAACAUCGGAGCUAAGUUAGUAAGGCAAGCUGCUGCAAAGACAAAUGAUCUCGCUGGGGAUGGAACGACUACUUCCGUCGUUCUUGCUCAAGGUUUGAUUGCUGAGGGUGUUAAGGUUGUUGCAGCAGGUUCCAAUCCAAUUCAGAUUACGAGAGGGAUUGAGAAAACAACCAAAGCCCUAGUGGCUGAACUGAAGCUAAUGUCAAAAGAGG